UAGAGGAAGUAAAAGUCGUAACAAGGUCUCCGUAGGUGAACCUGCGGAGGGAUCAUUACAAGUGACCCCGGUUUACCACCGGGAUGUUCAUAACCCUUUGUUGUCCGACUCUGUUGCCUCCGGGGCGACCCCUGCCUUCGGGCGGGGGCUCCGGGUGGACACUUCAAACUCUUGCGUAACUUUGCAGUCUGAGUAAACUUAAUUAAUAAAUUAAAACUUUUAACAACGGAUCUCUUGGUUCUGGCAUCGAUGAAGAACGCAGCGAAAUGCGAUAAGUAAUGUGAAUUGCAGAAUUCAGUGAAUCAUCGAAUCUUUGAACGCACAUUGCGCCCCCUGGUAUUCCGGGGGGCAUGCCUGUUCGAGCGUCAUUUCACCACUCAAGCCUCGCUUGGUAUUGGGCAACGCGGUCCGCCGCGUGCCUCAAAUCGACCGGCUGGGUCUUCUGUCCCCUAAGCGUUGUGGAAACUAUUCGCUAAAGGGUGUUCGGGAGGCUACGCCGUAAAACAACCCCCAUUUCUAAGGUUGACCUCGGAUCAGGUAGGGAUACCCGCUGAACUUAAGCAUAUC
rnacentral:rRNA from 1 species